CAGUCGCCGCGGUAAUACGAAGGGGGCUAGCGUUGCUCGGAAUGACUGGGCGUAAAGGGCGCGUAGGCGGCGAUCAAAGUCAGGCGUGAAAUUCCUGAGCUCAACCUGGGGGCUGCGCUUGAUACUUGGUUGCUUGAGUGGGGAAGAGGGUCGUGGAAUUCCCAGUGUAGAGGUGAAAUUCGUAGAUAUUGGGAAGAACACCGGUGGCGAAGGCGGCGACCUGGUCCUUGACUGACGCUGAGGCGCGAAAGCGUGGGGAGCAAACAGGAUUAGAUACCCGAGUAGUCCCUGUCUCUUAUAC
rnacentral:rRNA from 1 species